rnacentral:misc_RNA from 1 species
UUAUCGAAUAUACAAACCCAGGCGAGGGCGAAUCGGGAUCGCUGUCGCUGGCCUUUUGCUAGGCAUGUGCACGCUUUCCUCAGUAGCCUUCGCCUUAUGGGCGCGGGGCGACCCGCGUCUUCAUAUACCUCUUCGUGUAGAAAGUCUUUGAAUGUUUAUACCAUCAUCGAGUCGCGACUUCUAGGAGACGCGAUUCUUUGAGACAAAAGUUAUUACAACUUUCAGCAAUGGAUCUCUUGGCUCUCGCAUCGAUGAAGAACGCAGCGAAUCGCGAUAUGUAAUGUGAAUUGCAGAUCUACAGUGAAUCAUCGAAUCUUUGAACGCACCUUGCGCUCCUCGGUGUUCCGAGGAGCAUGCCUGUUUGAGCGUCAGUAAAUUCUCAACCCCUCUCGAUUUGCUUCGAUAGGGUGCUUGGAUAGUGGGGGCUGCCGGAGACCUGGACUUU